rnacentral:rRNA from 1 species
CCUACGGGAGGCAGCAGUAAGGAAUAUUGGUCAAUGGACGCAAGUCUGAACCAGCCAUGCCGCGUGAAGGAUGAAGGUCCUCUGGAUUGUAAACUUCUUUUAUGAGGGAAGAAACCCGGGAAUUCUUUUCCGGUUGACGGUACCUUAGGAAUAAGCACCGGCUAACUCCGUGCCAGCAGCCGCGGUAAU